rnacentral:lncRNA from 1 species
GGAAGGCUCAGAUUAAAAUCAGACCUUCAAACCAUCUUGCCCAUAGCACAUUCCAAAUGCUUCAGUUAAGGGCAGAUUUUCUGGUGCUCAACCAUUAGAAGAUUUCUAUAAAAUAUUCAUUCUGGAUUCUGGAAUUCACAGUUGGGAGUCACAGGACAGGCUCCCCAUGAUCCUGAACAGAAGAAGGUGGUCAGAUAGAGGGAAGGAGCAAAUCAAAAUCAGCUGG